rnacentral:rRNA from 1 species
AACGGCCAUACCAUGCUGAAUAUACCGGUUCUCGUUAGAUCACCGAAGUCAAGCUUCAUUGGGCGCGGUCAGUACUUGGGUGGGUGACAC